rnacentral:rRNA from 1 species
GACGAAUGUUGGCGGCGUGCCUAAUACAUGCAAGUAGAACGCUGUAGAGCGGAGCUUGCUCUUCUUGGCUGAGUUGCGAACGGGUGUGUAACGCGUAGGUAUCCUGCCUUGUAGCGGUGGAUAACCAUUGGAAACGAUAGCUAAUACCGCAUACCUAUGGCUGACCCUUGUCAUUUAUUUUUAUGGGGCACCUGCCCCACUACAAGAUGGACCUGCGUUGUCUUAGCUUGUAGGUGUGGUAACGGCUCUCCUAGGCGACGAUACAUAGCCUACCUGAGAGGGUGAGCGGCCACACGGGGACAGGGACACGGCCCAGACUCCUACGGGAGGCAGCAGGAGGGAAUCGUCGGCAAUGGGGGCAACCCUGACCGAGCAACGCCGCGUGAGGUAAGAAGGGUUUCGGAUCGUAAAGCUCUGUUGUAAGUAAAGAACGAGGGUGAGAGGGGAAAGUUCACACUGUAACGGUAGCUUACCAGAAAGGGACGGCUAAGUACGUG